CAAAGUAAGGGCGUAUGGGGAAUGCCUAGGCUCUCAGAGGCGAUGAAGGACGUGAUAAGCUGCGAUAAGCUGCGGGGAUUAGCACAUAUGAAUUGAUCCGCAGAUUUCCGAAUGGGGAAACCCCACCCUUUUGGGUGACCGUGAGCUGAAUACAUAGGCUCAUGGGGCGAACCCGGUGAACUGAAAUAUCUCAGUAGCCGGAGGAAAGGACAUCAACAGAGACUCCGCUAGUAGUGACGAGCGAACGCGGACCAGGCCA
rnacentral:rRNA from 1 species